AUGUCCCCGGGUCCCUCGGAGCCGCGGCUUGCUGCCUCCCACUCCCUGCCUCCCUCCGCGCCUCUCCCGGGUGCUUCCUCGCCCCUCUGUCUUGGGCGUCCGGCUCUUUUUUUUUGCAGCUCAUCCCUGGGAGACUUUUCUCCCUGCCUCAAGACAGCGUGUGAAUUGAGCAAUAAACCUCCCCAGGGCCURGAGGGGCUCACACGCCACGCUAAAGGCAGAAGGGCGGCAAGCGGGAGCCGAAGCAGCGUGGAUGGGAGCGGACGGAGCUGGCCGGCCGAGAGCAGGCGGACGCCCUGGUCUGCAGGYGCCCGGGUGCUUUGCGCUGCAGGUAAGGAAAACGAUGAGUUGUGUCGGGCUCAGUAAGCCUGAUGCCUGCCCAGCUGAGACGAGCAGCACCUGAACGUGUGCAUGAGUGUGCGUGUGUGUAUGGAAACCGCAGCUUUGACAAGCCUGCACGUCUGCCUUGGAAAAGAAACAGCGGGGCUUAAAAGCCRUGGAGUCGCAAUAUGCCCAAUAUGACUAAGGUCACGAGUUUUCGGUGACUCACAAUCUGUCUUUCUGGCAACCCAACCAUAAGGCAGGCUGUGCUUUUUUAUAUUCUGUAUUUUUUUUCUUUUUUUUCUUUUUUUGGAAAAAAGUCUACAUCAGAAAAAGUUACUGCUUACACAUAUCCUGGAAGAUCUUUCUCUUUGGCAAGUUGUGGGUACUCAAGGAGAGAAAUCCCUGUUAGCUGCAGCCCUCCCUCRCUCUGCUGUGCUAGCCUAUCUCUGCACUCACAAAGAGGCACCCUUUUAAUUUACAUUAAGUUGAAGUUGUUCUGAAAAAAUAUUUGCUCAGUCACCACUCUGGAUGCUGGGAGUCAUCCUCAUUUUCCAUUUUCUGGAUGCUCACUGCCCACCUCCUGGCAGGGAGCGCUAGGCACAGCCAGCUGCAACGGGCUGUAUCAUCAUCUCACUUGGGCACUGGGAUAUUUUUGGCUGCCAUUAAGUAUCUAGUUUCUAUAGUGAGGGAUAAACUGUGUUCACAUUUUCCCUUUCUGUGCUGAAGGUACGAAUGAUGCUGCUUCAGCUUUUAAGAACAAUAGCUGGAACUGGUCAAAGAAUGUUGCUUGUUAAGAGAACCUGAAAAGAUAGGAUUUUUUGACUUUCAUUUUUCAUAAUUUUUUUUCAGACUUUCACUGACUCUCCUCACGUUUAUUUUGCUCUUUCUUCCACCCCUCAAAACUUUAUUUUCUGCUACUUGUUGAAAAAUUAUAGAUUUUUGGAAUGAACAAACAUAAUGUCACUAGAAAAGAAGGUCGCUUCAUUUUGAGAUGUGAAGGAUACUUUAUAAUCAGAAUUGAUACAAAAAUAAGCUGCUAAGUGGAUCUGUCUGUAGGGGUUACUAUCUGCUGCUUACCUGUAAGCGCUCAGCUCAGCGGCUGUGCGGGUGCCGGGCAGACCGUGGUGGGCCCUCGCGCGUCCCUGCCAAAAAACAGGUGGGCAGCACAUUCGCCCCGGGGAAGUACCUCGUAGAAGCAGGUCAGAGAAAAACGAACCAGUUUGUAUAAGAAUAAUCAUUGCUAGAAUGAUUCAUCCAGAUUCACAAUGAUGUUUUUAAUACUGAUCAUCAAUUUGUUGUUUAGAGGAAAAAAAAAAAAAAAAGCCAACCCGACCAAACAUUUUCAGCCUCUGCAGAGAGUUUCCUACAGUGUUUCUAUUACCGUUGUGCUUGGGUUAAAUCUCCUGGUAUCCUGUGAGAAAUUUUAUUUUUUAUUUAUUCUCAUUUUAUAGACUGGGCAGCAGGGACAUACUUGGCUGAGGACACAGAAUGAAUCUAUUUGAAGUUUUCUAGGAAUUUUGCCAUGGUUAAUAGCACUGGUUGAAAGGCUUAAGCAGAAAGGAGGCCUUUGGUGCUUUCUGUAGUCCGGCCUUCUCCUGAACAGAUGUCCACAGUGCAAGAACGUCCGCUGUUUGGCUGGCACCRUCGCUCAGGGAGUUGCUUCCACUGCUCCGGCCCGUGAGAGAUGUUACGGGAGGGAGGAGGGAUGUCACUUGUUUCUCACAUUUCCUCYUUUCUGUGUUUUCUUGCGCAAACUAGGAAGAGAUUUUCCCGGACGUGGAUAUCUGUGGCUCUUGUGGUAUUUUUUGGCACGUUGCUGCCAAUCAGCUGAUUCCCACAGAAAGCCCCCAAGAGGAGACCUGAGGCCAGGGAGCAGCCUUGAGUGUUUGGGCAUUUGCACUGUGGUAGGGGCUUAGCAGUGAAAACUUUUAUGUUUCCCAGCAUGAAAACAAAGCUAUUCUGUUGACUUAGAUUUCACGCAGUGCUGACAGCAUUUACUGGGGUGCUGCAAAAAAACAAAGGGCCAUUUUUCUUAAAAAAGCAGAAAGCAUACUAAAAGUUUCUAAGCCAUGUUUGUGAAGGUUGCACAGUCACUUGAUUAGGAGCGUGGAGUUGGUCGGACUCCUUCCAGCUUCCCCACUUCACCCUUGUUUGUGCCUGAUAUUGCAGCUGUUCUGAUGAAAAACAGUUAUUUAAAAAUUUGCUCGUAGCUAUGGCAACCUGCAUGCACUGUAUUUCAAUUGAAACUCUCAAACAGCAGCAGAAGUUUCUUAAUAGGAUAUUUAUGAAGAUUUUAGUCUUUGUACAUUUUUAAAUGGAAAUAUUCCAUUUUUAAAGGAAGUUAUCAAAAUCACAUUAAUUUUGGAACUGGAUUUUUGUUGUGAGAGCUGCUGCUUAAGCUCUCUUUUUGUGGGGCUUUUGUUUAAGAUUCCUCUAGGUGCUUUAACUCUCCGAGAGCCUAAGACCUAGGGUGCUUUCCAAAUGUCUGCUCCUCCUAGUGUCCAGACCUGGCCUCCCCUUCUCUCUGGUAGGCGUCCGUUUUUACAAGGGCAUGGUGCAGUGGCAGGAAACCAGCUGUGUUUGGGUCGGGCCAGCUGGCGUGCAGAUUGACAGGGAUCGCCAACUUUGCAUUUACACGGUGAAUAAGCCGGGCAGUUUCUGUAGUCCUGCGCCCAUGCAUUUGCCCGUUCUGCGAGCAGUGGGCAGAUGUGCUUGCAGCUGGAUUGUCCGGUCCCUCAAUAAUAUUUCAGCACAGCUUCUCAGGGGGACAAACUUCCAGCAUGUACUCACAGCUUGUCUAGGCACAGCCACAAUAUGUUGUAGCCGCACAGACAGCCCCGGGUGCUAGCUGCACCCUGGAAUGGUUAAAUUUGUAAAGCUACUAUUUUCUUUUGUUUUCUUUCAUCUUCCUUUUCCCUGCACAUACGCUCCUUCAAAACCAGCAGGAUAAAAUUAAGGAAGCCUAGCAGAGACGUACACUCUGCUGCACUAAACCACCCUGAGCUGUGAUGAUACGUACUGGUGCCUCCGUAGUGUGGGACUAGGUCUAAUUUAUACUGUUUCUUGACCAGGGGUUUUGACAUAAGCUUGUCAACGGGGAUUUACCUAAAUGUGUCUGAAACAGUAAGGGUUUUUUGCCAGCAAGCUCCCAGAGCCGAGGCGGGGAAGUUUGCUCUUAGUGUGGGACAGGCUGUUGGCCCUCAGCUGCUGUAGAUGCAUGACUGAUCACUCUUGCUUUUCUUCACCAGGGCAGGGUUGAAGCUGCUGGUUUGCACUGGAAGACAUCUGAGGUGUGGACAGGCAUGUUCCUCAGUUAACACAAGUUUGUUUAACUGCAAAUUGGCUCCUUGUGUCCAUAACAAUGGGAUUACUCUUGACCCAUAUGGUAAAAUGUUCCUUUUGGACAUACCUUAAAAUAGAUUAUAAUGAGCCAGGAGCCAGCUGAGGAGGUGCUAUCAAGGUAUUCAAAGAGGAUUGUUGUUUCUUUAUUCCAUUCUGUAGAAAAAGGGUUGAACUGAUCACAUUUCUCACACUACAUCUAAGAGAAACCAUGCAAGGCAUGUUAAAUGUUAAACACCCUCUUGCCCUCCCUUUCUGCUUUUCAGGUUGCCGUUCUCUCCACCCUUGCACUAGCACAAUGAGCAUCAAGUGUCUCAUCCGUAUGCCACAUCUAUUUCUGUGAUCAAAUGAGACAGGAACAGGGCACACAAAAAAGAAUAUAUUCCUAUUAGAUAGGCAGGGCUCUAGAAGGGGAAUUGUACUAUUGUGAAGAAGAUUAAAAUAAAAUGAUGAAUCUUUGCA
ensembl:lncRNA